UACGUAGGUGGCAAGCGGUGUCCGGAAUUAUUGGGCGUAAAGCGCGCGCAGGUGGUUUCUUAAGUCUGAUGUGAAAGCCCACGGCUCAACCGUGGAGGGUCAUUGGAAACUGGGGAACUUGAGUGCAGGAGAGAAGAGUGGAAUUCCACGUGUAGCGGUGAAAUGCGUAGAGAUGUGGAGGAACACCAGUGGCGAAGGCGGCUCACUGGACCAUAACUGACGCUGAUGCACGAAAGCUGGGGGAGCAAACAGG
rnacentral:rRNA from 1 species